rnacentral:rRNA from 1 species
AAAAUCAACCAUGACAAAUCAUCAAUAUUUUUUAGUAAGGGAUGUCCACAACAAUUGAUAGAUAGCAUCAAGGCAACUCUAAAUGUUCAGAAUGAGUCUCUAAAUGAGAGUUAUUUGGGCAUGCCCAUUGAUGUCGGCCAGUCAAAGAUGGAUACAUUCAGAUACCUGAGCGAUCGGGUGUGGGAGAAGGUGAAGGGAUGGAUGGAGAAGCUUCUGACGGCAGGGGGAAAGGAGGUUCUAAUCAAAGUAGUGGCACAAGCACUGCCGAUUUAUUCCAUGGCCUGUUUCAGGAUUCCAAGGGACUCUGUGAGAACAUAA